UGGGGAAUUUUGCACAAUGGGCGCAAGCCUGAUGCAGCCAUGCCGCGUGUAUGAAGAAGGCCUUCGGGUUGUAAAGUACUUUCAGCGGGGAGGAAGGGAGUAAAGUUAAUACCUUUGCUCAUCGACGUUACCCGCAGAAGAAGCACCGACUAACUCCGUGCCAGCAGCCGCGGUAAUACGGAGGGUGCAAGCGUUAAUCGGAAUUACUGGGCGUAAAGCGCACUCAGGCGGUUUGUUAAGUCAGAUGUGAAAUCCCCGGGCUCAACCUGGGAACGACAUCUGAUACUGGGAAGAGUGAGUCUCGUAGAGGGGGGUAGAAUUCCAGGUGUGUCGGUGAAAUGCGUAGAGAUCUGGAGGAAUACCGGUGGCGAAGGCGGCCCCCUGGACGAAGACUGACGCUCAGGUGCGAAAGCGUGGGGAGCAAACAGG
rnacentral:rRNA from 1 species